UAUUGUGAUUUGUCAUCCUGUGGACUGUUACCUUGUGAGCUGGCAUUUCAUAGAUCAACACAGCAUGUCAUCCAGUCAAGUAGUCAGCACUUCAGGCCUUGAAGGCAUAAAACUUUGCUCACUGCUCAGAGCACAAAAAUCAUGCUUGAAACAUGAAAUCCAGCAAUCUGAUUGGUUGAUUUUCGAGUCUGAGUACAAAAAGCACACUCGAAAGUUUUAUGACCCUGAGGCCAGGUCUUGCAUGAUGUAUCAUUGAUCAUGUAAUUUUGUUCAUUUACUGAUGAUUUUAAUAUACCUGACUUAGGUUUGGGGGACUAAAAACAAGUAUGGAAUAUAAUUAAACGGAGAGCUGUCAAAUUACAUCCUUUUACUUUGGAUUCAAACACAAAAAGAGGCUGAUACAUGUAAUAAUCACAACAAUCAUAGUUAAGACAAUACAGUUCCAGAAAAUACGGAUUCAACAUACAGAUAUAUAUAAAUGGUGCACAUUUUGACAGAAAUUAUCUCAUUACAGCAUGUUCCAAAAUAUAUAAAAAAUCAAAAUUGAACAAACAGU
rnacentral:lncRNA from 1 species